UUAAGUUAGAAAGGGCGCACGGUGGAUGCCUUGACACUAGGAGUCGAUGAAGGACGGGACUAACGCCGAUAUGCUUCGGGGAGCUGUAAGUAAGCUUUGAUCCGAAGAUUUCCGAAUGGGGAAACCCACCAUACGUAAUGGUAUGGUAUCCUUAUCUGAAUACAUAGGGUAAGGAAGACAGACCCAGGGAACUGAAACAUCUAAGUACCUGGAGGAAGAGAAAGCAAAUGCGAUUUCCUGAGUAGCGGCGAGCGAAACGGAACAUAGCCCAAACCAAGAGGCUUGCCUCUUGGGGUUGUAGGACAUUCUAUACGGAGUUACAAAGGAACGAGGUAGACGAAGCGACCUGGAAAGGUUCGUCGUAGAGGGUAACAACCCCGUAGUCGAAACUUCGUUCUCUCUUGAAUGUAUCCUGAGUACGGCGGAACACGUGAAAUUCCGUCGGAAUCUGGGAGAACCAUCUCCCAAGGCUAAAUACUCCCUAGUGAUCGAUAGUGAACCAGUACCGUGAGGGAAAGGUGAAAAGCACCCCGGAAGGGGAGUGAAAGAGAUCCUGAAACCGUGUGCCUACAAAUAGUCAGAGCCCGUUAACGGGUGAUGGCGUGCCUUUUGUAGAAUGAACCGGCGAGUUACGAUCCCGUGCGAGGUUAAGCUGAAGAGGCGGAGCCGCAGCGAAAGCGAGCCUGAAUAGGGCGUUUAGUACGUGGUCGUAGACCCGAAACCAGGUGAUCUACCCAUGUCCAGGGUGAAGUUCAGGUAACACUGAAUGGAGGCCCGAACCCACGCACGUUGAAAAGUGCGGGGAUGAGGUGUGGGUAGCGGAGAAAUUCCAAUCGAACCUGGAGAUAGCUGGUUCUCCCCGAAAUAGCUUUAGGGCUAGCCUUAAGUGUAAGAGUCUUGGAGGUAGAGCACUGAUUGGACUAGGGGUCCUCAUCGGAUUACCGAAUUCAGUCAAACUCCGAAUGCCAAUGACUUAUCCUUAGGAGUCAGACUGCGAGUGAUAAGAUCCGUAGUCAAAAGGGAAACAGCCCAGACCGCCAGCUAAGGUCCCAAAGUGUGUAUUAAGUGGAAAAGGAUGUGGAGUUGCUUAGACAACUAGGAUGUUGGCUUAGAAGCAGCCACCAUUUAAAGAGUGCGUAAUAGCUCACUAGUCGAGUGACUCUGCGCCGAAAAUGUACCGGGGCUAAAUACACCACCGAAGCUGCGGAUUGAUACCGAAUGGUAUCAGUGGUAGGGGAGCGUUCUAAGGACAGUGAAGUCAGACCGUAAGGACUGGUGGAGUGCUUAGAAGUGAGAAUGCCGGUAUGAGUAGCGAAAGACGGGUGAGAAUCCCGUCCACCGAAUGCCUAAGGUUUCCUGAGGAAGGCUCGUCCGCUCAGGGUUAGUCAGGACCUAAGCCGAGGCCGACAGGCGUAGGCGAUGGACAACAGGUUGAUAUUCCUGUACCACCUCUUUAUCGUUUGAGCAAUGGAGGGACGCAGAAGGAUAGAAGAAGCGUGCGAUUGGUUGUGCACGUCCAAGCAGUUAGGCUGAUAAGUAGGCAAAUCCGCUUAUCAUAAAGGCUGAGCUGUGAUGGGGAAGCUCCUUAUGGAGCGAAGUCUUUGAUUCCCCGCUGCCAAGAAAAGCUUCUAGCGAGAUAAAAGGUGCCUGUACCGCAAACCGACACAGGUAGGCGAGGAGAGAAUCCUAAGGUGUGCGAGAGAACUCUGGUUAAGGAACUCGGCAAAAUGACCCCGUAACUUCGGGAGAAGGGGUGCUUUCUUAACGGAAAGCCGCAGUGAAUAGGCCCAAGCGACUGUUUAGCAAAAACACAGCUCUCUGCGAAGCCGUAAGGCGAAGUAUAGGGGGUGACACCUGCCCGGUGCUGGAAGGUUAAGGAGAGGGGUUAGCGUAAGCGAAGCUCUGAACUGAAGCCCCAGUAAACGGCGGCCGUAACUAUAACGGUCCUAAGGUAGCGAAAUUCCUUGUCGGGUAAGUUCCGACCCGCACGAAAGGUGUAACGAUUUGGGCACUGUCUCAACCAGAGACUCGGUGAAAUUAUAGUACCUGUGAAGAUGCAGGUUACCCGCGACAGGACGGAAAGACCCCGUGGAGCUUUACUGUAGCCUGAUAUUGAAUUUUGGUACAGUUUGUACAGGAUAGGCGGGAGCCAUUGAAACCGGAGCGCUAGCUUCGGUGGAGGCGCUGGUGGGAUACCGCCCUGACUGUAUUGAAAUUCUAACCUACGGGUCUUAUCGACCCGGGAGACAGUGUCAGGUGGGCAGUUUGACUGGGGCGGUCGCCUCCUAAAGUGUAACGGAGGCGCCCAAAGGUUCCCUCAGAAUGGUUGGAAAUCAUUCGUAGAGUGCAAAGGCAUAAGGGAGCUUGACUGCGAGACCUACAAGUCGAGCAGGGACGAAAGUCGGGCUUAGUGAUCCGGUGGUUCCGCAUGGAAGGGCCAUCGCUCAACGGAUAAAAGCUACCCCGGGGAUAACAGGCUUAUCUCCCCCAAGAGUCCACAUCGACGGGGAGGUUUGGCACCUCGAUGUCGGCUCAUCGCAUCCUGGGGCUGUAGUCGGUCCCAAGGGUUGGGCUGUUCGCCCAUUAAAGCGGUACGCGAGCUGGGUUCAGAACGUCGUGAGACAGUUCGGUCCCUAUCCGUCGUGGGCGUAGGAAAUUUGAGAGGAGCUGUCCUUAGUACGAGAGGACCGGGAUGGACGCACCGCUGGUGUACCAGUUGUUCUGCCAAGGGCAUAGCUGGGUAGCUAUGUGCGGAAGGGAUAAGUGCUGAAAGCAUCUAAGCAUGAAGCCCCCCUCAAGAUGAGAUUUCCCAUAGCGUAAGCUAGUAAGAUCCCUGAAAGAUGAUCAGGUUGAUAGGUUCGAGGUGGAAGCAUGGUGACAUGUGGAGCUGACGAAUACUAAUAGAUCGAGGACUUAACCAU
rnacentral:rRNA from 1 species